AUUGCUCUCGAUCUCGCAUCCUCUCUCUGUGUUCUCAAUCAAUCAUUCCUUCAAUUAAUCAAUCAAUCAAUCCAUUGAAUGGUGGAGGAGAGUUUCAAAUACGUGAUUCUGAACCGUGACAUCUCCACUGUGAAUGGUGUUGCCUAGUUGCAUAGUGACAUUUUAAAGUCCGAGUUAUUUGUAGACUACCACCACCAGCCACUGCCCCUCCGAUGAUGUUAGUUACACGAGCACCAAUGGAUUGAUUCAGUGAGAUACUUGGAUUAAUCCGGUGAGAGCCUUGGAUUGCAUGCCUUAUUCUAUUAAUUCAGUUUCUCCUCUCUCAUCUCUCUUUGAUUUUGAUUUGAUUUCUAGAGUUUUGAUUUCGAUUUCUAGGUUUUUGAUUUUGAUUUGAUUUCUAUUCAAUUAACCUAAAUUUUUCUCCCUUGCAGUUUCAUUUCAACUCUUUGAUCUCAAGCAGCAAGGAUUCAUAGAGAGACAGGACCUUGUGAGAAUGGAACCUCAGAAGAGGUGAAGAAUAUAGUUUUUGUCCUUAAUGCUGGUGAAGUGCCUUCUCAGGAUGCUGUGGCUGAAACAUUGAAUGAAAUCCUCUAUUGGGGUAGCAAAGAUAAAUAACACUGCUGAAACUAGCUCAUUGCCAAGAAGAUGCCAAGUAUGUCAAUUGCUUUCCUAUCUUCAUUAGCUCAUUGCCGAGAAGAUGCCAGAGUUACUAGAUUUUGAUAAGGAUCUCGUUCAUUUGGAAGCAGCCUAAGAUCCAAUUGAAGUCUUUAGCUGAAGAAAUGCAAGCUGUGAGUAAAGGUCUUGAAAAGGUUGAGCAGGAACUCACUGCUUCAGAGAUGAUGGUGCCAUCUCUGCAGGCUUCCAAAAUGUAGGGGACAAACUUGGGACACUAGCUUACUCUUUUCUCUUCUUUUUUU